UUUAGUGAUAACACUUGGGCUAGAGUAGUACUGGGAUGGGUGACCUACUGGGAAGUCCUAGUGUUGCACCCU
rnacentral:rRNA from 1 species